rnacentral:lncRNA from 13 species
CCUCAUUCAGUAGAGCGUUUAAUGAUGCAUAUGCUGUGAACUUUGACCCAAUGGGGGGAAAAAGUGUAGGUGUCGCGAGAAUUUUCACGUGCGUGAAGGCGCGCUUUGGGAGAGAGAGCUUCCUUUGUUCCAGUCAGCCCCAGAUGAACUAGGAUUGUCCGGUUGGAAUGCCAUUCGUUUUGUACGUUUAUAACAUCCUGAAGCUUGAUUCUGCUCUUAGUUUGACCAGUUUGGUCGACCUGUAAUAUGUAGUUUGGAAGUUUUGAUGCGCAAUUAUUCUGGACCAGAAGUUAUUUUUUUGGGGCAUUUGAGCUGAAAGUGGUAGCAUAUGCUACUACAUGGACACUAGAAUGGAACAUUAUGAAACAAAACAAUGUAUUGGUACUUCCUGCUCCAGACCAGCUGACUGUUAACUCAGUAGACACCACACCAGCUGCUGUUAGCUGGAGCCAGCCACCAGGAUUGGACCAAACCCAACAUUACCAGAUCUCCUACCACUGGGACAGAACCACAUCACUACCACAUCUUCACACAGCAUCACUCUCUCUGACCUGCAAUGUGAUACUCAGUACUCUGUUACUGUCUGCACUGUGCUGGAAAAUGGAAAGCAAAGUCAACUGGUGUCCACAACCUUCACCACAGAACAUUUUCAGUGGUGGAAGAGACCCUCCACAGUUGCUGCAGUGUUUGUUCUACUGGCUGUGA